CCUACGGGGGGCAGCAGUGGGGAAUAUUGGACAAUGGGGGCAACCCUGAUCCAGCCAUGCCGCGUGUGUGAAGAAGGCCCUCGGGUUGUAAAGCACUUUCAGUGAGGAAGAACGCCUGGUGGUUAAUACCCAUCAGGAAAGACAUCACUCACAGAAGAAGCACCGGCUAACUCCGUGCCAGCAGCCGCGGUAAUACGGAGGGUGCGAGCGUUAAUCGGAAUUACUGGGCGUAAAGCGCGCGUAGGUGGCUUGAUAAGCCGGUUGUGAAAGCCCCGGGCUCAACCUGGGAACGGCAUCCGGAACUGGCAAGCUAGAGUGCAGGAGAGGAAGGUAGAAUUCUCGGUGUAGCGGUGAAAUGCGUAGAGAUCGGGAGGAAUACCAGUGGCGAAGGCGGCCUUCUGGACUGACACUGACACUGAGGUGCGAAAGCGUGGGUAGCAAACAGGAUUAGAUACCCCGGUAGUC
rnacentral:rRNA from 1 species